UCGAAGGGGGCUAGCGUUGUUCGGAUUAACUGGGCGUAAAGGGUGCGUAGGCGGGGUUUUAAGUUCAGGGGGUGAAAUGCCGAGGCUCAACUUCGGAACUGCCUUUGAUACUGGAACUCUUGAGUCUGGGAGAGGUGAGUGGAACUGCCGAGUGUAGAGGUGAAAUUCGUAGAUAUUCGCAAGAACACCAGUGGCGAAGGCGAGUCCCCUGGACAACACCUGACACUGAGGCACGAAAG
rnacentral:rRNA from 1 species